CAGCAGCCGCGGUAAUACGGAGGAUCCAAGCGUUAUCCGGAGUCAUUGGGUUUAAAGGGUCCGUAGGCGGUUUAGUAAGUCAGUGGUGAGAGCCCAUCGCUCAACGGUGGAACGGCCAUUGAUACUGCUAAACUUGAAUUAUUAGGAAGUAACUAGAAUAUGUAGUGUAGCGGUGAAAUGCUUAGAGAUUACAUGGAAUACCAAUUGCGAAGGCAGGUUACUACUAAUGGAUUGACGCUGAUGGACGAAAGCGUGGGUAGCGAACAGGAUUAGAUACCCUGGUAGUCCACGCCGUAAACGAUGGAUACUAGCUGUUGGGAGCAAUCUCAGUGGCUAAGCGAAAGUGAUAAGUAUCCCACCUGGGGAGUACGUUCGCAAGAAUGAAACUCAAAGGAAUUGACGG
rnacentral:rRNA from 1 species